GUCAUAUGCUUGUCUCAAAGAUUAAGCCAUGCAUGUCUCAGUACAAGCCAAAUUAAGGUGAAACCGCGAAAGGCUCAUUAAAUCAGUUAUGGUUCCUUAGAUCGUACCCACAAUUACUUGGAUAACUGUGGUAAUUCUAGAGCUAAUACAUGCAAACAGAGCUCCGACCGGAGACGGAAGGAGUGCUUUUAUUAGAUCAAAACCAAUCGGUGGCGGGUUCGCUCGUUAUCGCACAACUUGGUGACUCUGAAUAACUUUACGCUGAUCGCACGGUCAUCGCACCGGCGACGCAUCUUUCAAAUGUCUGCCUUAUCAACUGUCGAUGGUAGGUUCUGCGCCUACCAUGGUUGUAACGGGUAACGGGGAAUCAGGGUUCGAUUCCGGAGAGGGAGCCUGAGAAACGGCUACCACAUCCAAGGAAGGCAGCAGGCGCGCAAAUUACCCACUCCCGGCACGGGGAGGUAGUGACGAAAAAUAACGAUACGGGACUCAUCCGAGGCCCCGUAAUCGGAAUGAGUACACUCUAAACCCUUUAACGAGGAUCAAUUGGAGGGCAAGUCUGGUGCCAGCAGCCGCGG
rnacentral:rRNA from 1 species